rnacentral:rRNA from 1 species
UACGUAGGCGGAAAAUUAAGUCAGUAGUGAAAUCCUGCAGCUUAACUGUAGAACUGUUAUUGAUACUGGUUUUCUUGAAUAUAGUUGAGGUAGGCGGAAUGUGUAAUGUAGCGGCGAAAUGCUUAGAUAUUACACAGAACACCGAUUGCGAAGGCAGCUUACUAAGCUAUGAUUGACGCUGAGGUACGAAAGCGUGGGGAGCGAACAGGAUUAGAUACCCUGGUAGUC